CCUACGGGAGGCAGCAGUGGGGGAUAUUGCACAAUGGGGGGAACCCUGAUGCAGCGACGCCGCGUGGGUGAAGGUACAGAGUAUCGUAAACCUCUUUUGUCAGGGAACAAAGGCGGGGACGUGUCCCCGGAUGAGUGUACCUGAAGAAAAAGCAUCGGCUAACUCCGUGCCAGCAGCCGCGGUAAUACGGAGGAUGCGAGCGUUAUCCGGAUUUAUUGGGUUUAAAGGGUGCGCAGGCGGUCUGUUAAGUCAGCGGUCAAAGCCCGGGGCUCAACCCCGGCCCGCCGUUGAAACUGGCAGUCUCGAGUUGGAGAGAAGUAUGCGGAAUGCGCGGUGUAGCGGUGAAAUGCAUAGAUAUCGCGCAGAACUCCGAUUGCGAAGGCAGCAUGCCGGCUCCACACUGACGCUGAGGCACGAAAGCGUGGGUAUCGAACAGGAUUAGAUACCCCGGUAGUC
rnacentral:rRNA from 1 species